rnacentral:rRNA from 1 species
UGGGGAAUAUUGGACAAUGGGCGGAAGCCUGAUCCAGCAACGCCGCGUGAGGGAUGACGGCCUUCGGGUUGUAAACCUCUUUCACCAUUGACGAAGCUGCAUUCUUUUGGGUGUGGUGACGGUAGGUGGGGAAGAAGCACCGGCCAACUACGUGCCAGCAGCCGCGGUAAUACGUAGGGUGCGAGCGGUGUCCGGAAUUAUUGGGCGUAAAGGGCUCGUAGGCGGUUUGUCGCGUCGGGAGUGAAAUCAUCUGGCUUAACUGGGUGCUUGCUUUCGAUACGGGCAGACUAGAGGUAUGCAGGGGAGAACGGAAUUCCUGGUGUAGCGGUGAAAUGCGCAGAUAUCAGGAGGAACACCGGUGGCGAAGGCGGUUCUCUGGGCAUGAUCUGACGCUGAGGAGCGAAAGUGUGGGGAGCGAACAGG